rnacentral:rRNA from 1 species
CGAUAACCUUUAAAAAGCUUAAUAACCUAAUUUUAUAACUUAGAAGAGGUAAGUCGUAACAUGGUAAGUGUACUGGAAAGUGCACUUGGUAAUCAAAAUAUAGCUUAGCAAAAGCAACUCGUUUACACCGAGAAAACGUCUGUUAAACCCAGAUUAUUUUGAGCCUAAAAUCUAGCCUAUAACUAAUUACAUAAGGAUAAUCUUCUAAACCUUUCCCAGCUAAAACAUUUUUCUAUUUUAGUAGGGGCGAUCGAAAAAAACUUCAGCGCUUAAGAAACAGUACCACAAGGGAAAUAUGAAAUAAAAAUGAAACAAAUUUAAAGCUAAUAAUAGCAGAGAACCUAACUCGUACCUUUUGCAUCAUGGUCUAGCUAGUCUAACCAGGCAAAAUGAAAAUUUUAGUCCGCCUCCCCGAAACUAAGCGAGCUACUUCAAAACAGCCAUAGCCAACCCGUCUCUGUUGCAAUAGAGUGGGAAGAUUUUCAAGUAGCAGUGACAAGCCUAUCGAGCUUAGAGAUAGCUGGUUAUUCAGGAAAAGAAUCUUAGUUCUGCCUAAAAUUAUUUUUUGCCAAAAACAACUUAACAAAUUUUUAGAGUUACUCAAUUAAGGAACAGCUUAUUUGAAUUAGGACACAACCUAAAUAGUGGGGUAAAAGCUCUUAUAUUAUAACAAGUGGGCCUAAAAGCAGCCAUCUGUUUAAAAGCGUUAAAGCUUAAUUUAAUUAACUAAUAAUACCUCGUGUAAAUAUGAACCCACCAAACUUACUGAAUGAUCUUAUUUUUUUAUAAGACACAUUAUGCUAGAACUAGUAACAAGAAUUUAUUAUUCUCCAAAAUGUAAACAUAAACCAGAAUGGAUAUCCCGCUGGUAUUUAACGAACAUGAACACCCUGCAGCAACAUAACAAGAAAACUCUGCAUUAACCAAUCGUUAACCUGACACUAGAACAUUUCUGGAAAGAUUAAAAGAGAAAGAAGGAACUCGGCAAACUUUAGCCUCGCCUGUUUACCAAAAACAUCGCCUCUUGCUCAAUAAUAAGAGGUCAGGCCUGCCCGGUGAUGAAAUUUAACGGCCGCGGUACCCUAACCGCGCGAAGGUAGCAUAAUCACUUGUUCUUUAAAUAGGGACCUGUAUCAACGGCAUAACGAAGGUUACACUGUCUCCUCUCUCCAAUCAGUGAAACUGAUCUCCCUGUGAAAAAGCAGGGAUAAAUUUAUAAGACGAGAAGACCCCAUGGAGCUUCAAACCUACCGCAACUUAAACACUUAAUUCUACCUAUUUACAAAGACAUGCCUACCGGUUUUAGGUUGGGGUGACCAUGGAGUAAAAUCUAACCUCCUUAACGUAAAGACCUUAAUCUUCAUCUAAGAGCCACCACUCUAAGAACUAGUAUACUAACGCACACUGAUCCGAUAAUCGAUUAAUGAACCAAGUUACCCUGGGGAUAACAGCGCAAUCUAUUUCAAGAGUUCUUAUCGACAAAUAGGCUUACGACCUCGAUGUUGGAUCAGGGUAUCCCAGUGGUGCAACCGCUACUAAUGGUUCGUUUGUUCAACGAUUAAAAC